ACGAACGCUGGCGGCGUGCCUAAUACAUGCAAGUAGAACGCUGAAGGAGGAGCUUGCUUCUCUGGAUGAGUUGCGAACGGGUGAGUAACGCGUAGGUAACCUGCCUGGUAGCGGGGGAUAACUAUUGGAAACGAUAGCUAAUACCGCAUAAGAGUAGAUGUUGCAUGACAUUUGCUUAAAAGGUGCAAUUGCAUCACUACCAGAUGGACCUGCGUUGUAUUAGCUAGUUGGUGGGGUAACGGCUCACCAAGGCGACGAUACAUAGCCGACCUGAGAGGGUGAUCGGCCACACUGGGACUGAGACACGGCCCAGACUCCUACGGGAGGCAGCAGUAGGGAAUCUUCGGCAAUGGACGGAAGUCUGACCGAGCAACGCCGCGUGAGUGAAGAAGGUUUUCGGAUCGUAAAGCCCUGUUGUAAGAGAAGAACGAGUGUGAGAGUGGAAAGUUCACACUGUGACGGUAUCUUACCAGAAAGGGACGGCUAACUACGUG
rnacentral:rRNA from 1 species